CCUACGGGAGGCAGCAGUGAGGAAUAUUGGUCAAUGGACGAGAGUCUGAACCAGCCAAGUAGCGUGAAGGAUGACUGCCCUAUGGGUUGUAAACUUCUUUUAUAUGGGAAUAAAAUGUUCCACGUGUGGGAUUUUGUAUGUACCAUAUGAAUAAGGAUCGGCUAACUCCGUGCCAGCAGCCGCGGUAAUACGGAGGAUUCGAGCGUUAUCCGGAUUUAUUGGGUUUAAAGGGAGCGUAGGCGGAUUGUUAAGUCAGUUGUGAAAGUUUGGGGCUCAACCGUAACAUUGCAGGUGAAACUGGCAGUCUUGAGUACAGGAGAGGUAGGCGGAAUGCGUGGUGUAGCGGUGAAAUGCUUAGAUAUCACGAAGAACUCCGAUUGCGAAGGCAGUUCACUGGACUGCAACUGACACUGAGGCUCGAAAGUGUGGGUAUCAAACAGGAUUAGAUACCCCUGUAGUC
rnacentral:rRNA from 1 species